rnacentral:rRNA from 1 species
AACGAACGCUGGCGGCAUGCCUAACACAUGCAAGUCGAACGAGACCUUCGGGUCUAGUGGCGCACGGGUGCGUAACGCGUGGGAAUCUGCCCUUUGCUUCGGAAUAACAGUUAGAAAUGACUGCUAAUACCGGAUGAUGUCUUCGGACCAAAGAUUUAUCGGCAAAGGAUGAGCCCGCGUAGGAUUAGGUAGUUGGUGGGGUAAAGGCCUACCAAGCCGACGAUCCUUAGCUGGUCUGAGAGGAUGAUCAGCCACACUGGGACUGAGACACGGCCCAGACUCCUACGGGAGGCAGCAGUGGGGAAUAUUGGACAAUGGGCGAAAGCCUGAUCCAGCAAUGCCGCGUGAGUGAUGAAGGCCUUAGGGUUGUAAAGCUCUUUACCCGAGAUGAUAAUGACAGUAUCGGGAGAAUAAGCUCCGGCUAACUCCGUGCCAGCAGCCGCGGUAAAGUGAC